GGCAAAGGACAAAAGAGACAUCAUGUGUCCAGAAGUCAUUGCAAGUCCUCAAACGAAGGACAUGGCUGAAGGAGUCUGGUAUACAUCUGACUGGCACGGCUUUGGAAGUGGUGAUGAAUGAGUAGAAGUUGACUCAUUAUUAAAGCUCCGUCUCCCUGGCUCAUGGACUCCCUCCCUCCAGCCGGUACCUCUGCAGCGGCGCACUCCUCUCAGUCCUGGGUUAUCUGUCUCUGGCUGUCUGACUGCCUCUCCAGCCCCUCUCUGUCUCUCCUCUUCCUCGGCCCGGCUCUCAUCCAUAUAAUGUGUGAUAUGUAUCAUUGGUUAAGACUACUCCAGGCCGGCAUGUUGACAUUCCCCCGUGCCUCUUCAUCUCUCCCCGCAGAGCUGAGUGCUGUUGAGUUGUGUUGAUUAAUGAUAUUGAUCGCUCUGCACACCGCUUGACUUUCUGUGAAUGAAAGAAAGGAGGGAGAGAAAAAGAGACAGAAUAAGAGAGAACACAGUGAGAUAUUGGAAGGAAAGAAAAUAACACACUUUUGAUACAGAGUGUUUUUAUCAUGUACGAGGUCUGUUUCCAAGGAAACCAUACCAUAGACGAGUUGGAUGAACUAUAGGUGGGUAUAUAA